rnacentral:rRNA from 1 species
GGAAAAGAAACCAACAGGGAUUGCCUCAGUAACGGCGAGUGAAGCGGCAAAAGCUCAAAUUUGAAAUCCUUCGGGAGUUGUAAUUUGUAGGUUGGGAGACCCCGCGGCUAGUGGCACCAAGUCCCUUGGAACAGGGCGCCUUAGAGGGUGAGAGCCCCGUAGGUACCACAAUACCGUCUUGUGUCUCCUCUCCAAAGAGUCGAGUUGUUUGGGAAUGCAGCUCAAAGUGGGUGGUAAAUUCCAUCUAAAGCUAAAUACCGGCGAGAGACCGAUAGCGAACAAGUACAGUGAUGGAAAGAUGAAAAGCACUUUGAAAAGAGAGUGAAACAGUACGUGAAAUUGUUGAAAGGGAAGGGCUUGCAAGCAGACACGGCCUUCGUGCCGGGCCAGCAUCGGUUGCUAGGGGUGGAUAAGGAACAAGGAAUGUAGCUCCUCGGAGUAUUAUAGCCUUGCGCGAUACACCCACUGGCGACCGAGGCCUGCGGUAUUCUUUACCUAGGAUGCUGGCGUAAUGGUUGCAAGCCGCCCGUCUU